ACAAAGGGAAAGUGUAUUUGCUACUAGUGUAUUUCUUCUUUCGUUUUCUUCUCGCUCAGUGCAUAUGCAGCCUGGAGACACAGCUGUGAAAGGGCAUGGCCGUGGGGCGCAGCUGCCUCUGGACCGAAUGCUCAGUCAUGCUGCACAGGACCGUGGGCAAAUCUCCUAAGCCCUGAGGAGGACCGAUCAGUAGACAAAUGACACUAACUGUGGAAGGCAGGACCACAUUCCAAUUGGAAACUCUGCAUUCAGACUGCCAGGUGUGAGCGUACUAUUGUGUGACUUGGGACCUAUUUCCCUGCAAGCAACCACGGAUGCGAGAACUACACGGAUCUCUGCAGAGAUGUCUUCUCCAAUCAACCUCAACUCUGACUAGAGAAUGUUACCCCAUGGCCUUGUGUGAAUGAUGCUACAGGGAACAGUGGAGCGAGACAGUGAAAGGAAAUGUGAUUUCCCAACCUGCUCCCUCUUCUUAAGCCUGCUGGACAGGAGCUGUAUGACUGCCCGUGGAAGGCAAGUAGCUGUCCGGGAGUUUGAGUAAGUGGCAAACACCAGGAUAAGCAGAAGCCCACAGGUGGCCUGGGGAACCCACUGCACACAUGAGGAUCAGACCCUGUGUCUCCAAAGGUGCCCCUGGAAGGGAAUCCUUGAAAGGAUGCUUUGGAGGAAAACCCCCAUCCCUCACAAGGGGAGGUGAGCCCCUUGGCACCCAUAGGUCAAACCAGGAACCACUAUAUCUUCCACAAAUAUACACAAAAGAAGCAUUGCCAAGUACUAGAGCUGCAAAAUUACUUUUCCUAUCACCUUUGCCUUCUCUUUGCUCUCUCUGUGACCUUUCACUUCCUUCUAUUUCUGCUCUGCCCCAACUUCUUUAUUAGGUCAACACAUGUGCUUCAUUUAUUACUGUAUCAUUUAUCUUUAUCCCAGGAAGAGUCUAAUUUUAAUAGAAAUGAGAGUUCUCCUUUAACUCUCCAAUGAUACAAUUUUGUGACUAUUUAAGGCAAGUCAUUUAACCUUCCUGAACCUUAGUUCCCACAUCUGUGAAACUGAUGACUACUUACAUACUUCCCUAGAUUGCUGAGUGAAGCAAUUAUAAGACACUCAGCAAUGUAAAAAAUAACAUUAAAAAGGUUUGUUCAUCAGUCUUCUCUCUGUACUUCAGGAAGCUUUGCUGCUAAAGAAGUGGCCAGUCUCUGCUUUGUGUUGUGGGUGCUGAAGAUGGCACUGAGGCACAUUCUCAGUGCAGCCAGGUUUGGAGAAGACACACUGCUGCAGAAGUCUGUCAGUCUCUAGAGGACUUCUUUCUUCCAAAGAAAGAAAAAUAAGGUGGUGGUGGGGUACAAGACAGGGCUUGGAGAAGCAAGGGUGCUUCAGGACAGCUGCUAGUGCCAUUUGGAUCUGCUUCAAACCACUAACUGGCAAUGAAUUUGGAUCUACUUCAAACAGGAGUGAGGAGCUUUGGGCUCUCAAUGGGAUGUGAUGACCAACAGCAGCUUUAGAAUACUUUUCCUGUAAGCAAAUGUAUUAGUCCAUCCUAGGUUUCAAUAACAAAAAGCCUGAGGCUGGGUACCUUUCAAAGAAGAGAGGUUUAUUUAUCCCUCAGUUCUGGAAACUGAAAGACCAAGAACAGGUAACCUCAUCUGUUCUGACUCCAGUGAGAGCCACCUCAGUUGGGUCACAACAUGGCAGACAAGUAGAAAGGGAAAUGGAUACUCUUAGAAGAGAGCAUGUGUGUGGCAUUUCUGCUCUUUAAAAAAUUUGGAUCUAGCAAAAAAACUAACUUACUGUGUAAGACCAGUGUAUCAGUCACUGUUUUACUGGAGAAACAGCUAUAACACAUGAUAUACAAAUGUAUAAGAAAUUAGAAGACUGGCUUACGAUGGUCACCCAGAAUUGGAUGUGGAAGAGUGCAGAGGGUGUCUGCACAUUGGAGACCAAAGAAUCCAGUCCAAGCUGUGGAGCUCACUGCAGCAUCCCGGGCAAGUCCAUAGCAGGAGGCCUGAGGGGUCUGCGAUGGAAGGCUGAAGAGUCUACACUGGCAGGCUGAAGGAUCCACACUGGAAACCAGAGUCUGUGCUAGAAGGUUGAAGAGUCUAUGACAGACACUGAAGGCAAGACUGGAGCUCCUCUAAAGAACAGAAGCAGAUCCAUCCUUCUUCAUUUCCCCUUUACACCAUCCAGGUGAGGAGCUGCCCUAGGUUGGGUCGUCUUUAUCCUUGGGUGUAGAAUUGCUGAGCAUAUUUAGUUAAGUUUCUCUUAAUUAAAUUUCUUAAAUUGACACAGUCAAUCAACCAUUAAAACUAGCAUUCAUUCCUGCUGAGAGAAGAUGGCCUUGACCUAAUUGCCUUCCAUGCGCCACCUCGUAAAGGUCCACUGUCCCUCACUCUACAUUGGGAACCGAGCACAUGCACCCCUGGGGAACAGGCCACAUACAAACCAUCACACUCUGUGGAGCCAAAGAGAGCUGUAAAAGUCAGCCUUUUAACUUCUUCACAAACAAAGCCCCAGGUGAAUCAGUCGAAGCAGAGUGGAUGGC